AGCGAGGUGGGGCAGCUAGGAGUGCCCGUCGGGCUCAUAACCCGGAGGUCAUUGGUUCAAAUCCAAUCCUCGCUA
rnacentral:tRNA from 1 species